AAAAUUGGCUAAUCAGAUUUUUGUGCUGAUUAAUGAGGGAAAGUUUUUACUCUUUUUGUGGAAAGUAAUAUACAUAUUCAUGUUGGAAUAUAAUUAUUCCCAUUUCUUAGAUUUUAAAUUACUACUUUUAAAUAAAUACAGUCUCUUUUAUUAACCUGUGUUUUUUCUUUCCACCGUGGGUCUUUUCAGUUUCAUGAUUUUGCUCUCAAAACUUUUUAAUUAUUGAUUUCUGUCAAAUCUGUUCAUUCAUUACAUUAUUUUAUUAUUUAUUAAAUUGUUUUAUCUUUUUAAGUCUUAUUAAUAUGUACUGAAUUUGUAACAAUUUGGAAAGUCAAGUAACUCCUGUUUUAUCUUUUUCUUGGUUUAUGAGUGUUUUUAAAGUUUUACGUUUCUUGAAGAUCACAGCUGUAGCCCCAAUUCCAUGGUUCUGGCUACUUACAUUUAUCAUACUUAUUAAUAUCAUGAAUGUAAUUGGAAUACCCCUUUGAUUUUACUGGUGACGUAUACCCACUAGUGUACUGAGACGGAAAAAAAAGUCUUUAGAACUCAGAUAAAUAUACAGUUCAUAUUUACUAUUUAUGUAUGUGUGAUCUCAUUAUUAAAUUACUCUAUCAUGUUUGUGGAA
rnacentral:lncRNA from 1 species